GGGGCUAACUGCGGCCUUCAGGGUAGUGCCACAGGCUCUGAGGGUACCUUCAGGAAAAUAAACCUGUAAGGAGAAAUAUUCUGGGUGCAGUCACAUCUCCCUGAACACAUCCCUGUUCCUUGCAGGUGCCUGAGGGUGCCCAUGGGGCUGUGAGGAAUGUGACAGCCCUCUUGAGGAGUUGUAUCUAUCUUGAGAUAGCUGUGAGGGGACAGCCCCAGCACCAGGGGUCAGUGGGAAACACAGCUGUGUUUUCUCCCCUGCAAGGGGUAUCUGGACUUAGACUCCCAAGACAAGAUAGUUUCAGGGCAUAGGACAGCUUCUUUUUGGGAAGUGGACUCUGGCAAGCAGAAGUUAAGAAGCUUCCAGGUCAUGGCCCUGUGCUGAAGCACACCUAGAUGUUCUAGGUGGGACCUACCACAGUGAGAACUGCAGCAGCAAUCAGCCCUAGUGCUGGCCAUGAUCUGCAAUCAGCCAUCAAGUUCCAGUUUUCUUGUGUUGAUGUUUUCCACCCUCAUAUGCUCUAACUCCGACAAGAAGAAUGCAUAUUUCAAAUCAGGAUAUGAACCACCUGCCCAUAAAUCAGCCAAAUACAGGCCCUGCACCUAGCACAAUCUUUAACAUUUCUCCUAGGCAUGAUACUUUUUCUAUCCACAAUGUCCAUGGCUUUUAGAAAUAUUGAAUGUUUUUGUGUGGAAAAGUACAUGCUCCUCAUUUUUGUUCUUUAAGUUUUCAUAGUAUAUCAGAUUGUGUAAGCGCUUGCUUCUGAGCAACCAGGUCCACAAUAGGUGGGUAGAAGAUCAGCGGUCCUUAGAUAGUCUUCAGACUCCUAUUGCUGCCUUCAGAGUUCUUACUGUGUAGCCAUUACCACUGACAAAUCAUGUUGCAUCAGAAGGGGAUCCUGACUCAAGUCUGAAAAUUGUUGAAGCUCAGGAGAGCUUGGAUCAGGAUGCAAAUAUGAACAAGUUGACGCUAUUGGGCUAUGGCAAAUAAUGAAGAUCAUCAAUACAGUCACAUUAAUGUGGUCACUUAUCCCUAAAGGAAACUUCAUUGACUGAUGAGGUACUAGGGGCAUUAAUCAAUUAACUAAUAGUGCUUUUAUCUUAAUAAGAAAGAACAGAAUAGUCUUGAGUAGAAAUAGCAUGCUAGAAUAGAAAUAUAGAGGUAACCAUCUCUUUGUUAACAUAAAACAGGGUAGACCUCUAUACUUUUUCUAAAAAUAUGGCUUUGGUUUAAAAUAGCAAAAAUAAAAAUUAAAGGGAAAGAAUCAUGGAAAGCACCUUUUUUUCAUGACUGAUGCCUCUUCUGCAGCUGCAAGCACAUUCGUUUCUCCAUAAUCCCUAGCAGUGUAGAAGAAAGAGAGCCUUCAGGUGAAAGGUUACCUACAUUUAUAAUGUCAGGCACUGAGACUGGUGAGGUAAAAGGUAAAUGGUAAUUUUAUCAUUAGCGUGCCUGACCCCUUGCCCCCACCAUAUCUCAUAGGAGACGUUAAGAAUGGCUCACCUGUCAAGAUGCAAACACUUAAAGGUCAAUGCGCACAGAAAUCUUCAAGAGCUUACAACUGAAUUGCUGACACCUUUUAUUAUCACCGCUUAAAUAAAUGAUUCAAGUGGCAAGACAAGGAAACACCUGACUGCAUAGCAGAGCAUAAGCAGACAUCCACAUGCCAGGGGUAUCAGAGAUUUCACUGGAGCAGACCUCAACUGAACCACAGACUUAACUAUGACUGAAUUUACACAAGCGAGUUUUCUCAGUGGGACUUAAACUUAGCCCGAUGCUUAAGCACUUAGCUGAGUCAAGGAUCUAAUGAGUGAAGUGCUGGAAUUACAGCUGCCAUUUCACAAAAGGCACCGUAUAAAAAUAUAUACAGUUCGCGGCAACUACAGCUUUCUAUCUGCAGACCUUCUUUUAUGUAAUUUCACACAUAGAUCAAAACUGCACAAAAUGCAGUUUUUUUUGCCUUGCACUGCUCUUGUGCAUCAAAAACUUCUGUACUACCUCAAUUUUAACCAUGCAUUAUUAAGAUAUUGUAAAAUGGUUUAUAGCCAUUGUAAAAUUAUUUUCAUUUUUUUACCUGACCACCUGAGGAAGACACCUGGUAGUGAUAAAAUUAUUUUUACUACAUGCCUUUCAGGACAUAAGAGAAAUAAAACACUUUCUU